UACGUAGGGUGCAAGCGUUAAUCGGAAUUACUGGGCGUAAAGCGCACGUAGGCGGCUUUGCAAGUCAGAGGUGAAAGCCCGGGGCUCAACCCCGGAAUUGCCUUUGAGACUGCAUCGCUAGAAUUGUGGAGAGGUAAGUGGAAUUCCGAGUGUAGAGGUGAAAUUCGUAGAUAUUCGGAAGAACACCAGUGGCGAAGGCGACUUACUGGACACAUAUUGACGCUGAGGUGCGAAAGCGUGGGGAGCAAACAGG
rnacentral:rRNA from 1 species